GUCCCCUCCGACCUGGGGGUUCACCUGGACACGGAUUUCCCAGACACCAGUGGCCAGGCAAACGGAAUCAGGAGUCAGGCACUGGGAAAGAAGAAAGAAGGGCAGGAGUGGCACCCAGAAGACCGGAAUUAACGCCCAGAACCGGGCUCUGGGGACAGCACAGCAGGAGGCAGCUGCCGCAGACUGGAGGAAAGGGACCUCUGCGGGCUCAGCAAGGGGAUCCCGAGAGCCCUCCGCGGACCUCAGACCCAUAGCAACUAGAGUCCAAGUCAGAAGUCCCACUUGGGUCUUUGGUGGCGGGACCUUCAGCGCAGACAUUGUGCCAUAGCAGGCAUCUUCAAGGGAAGGUAGGACCCGCGGACCAUCAUUGCACCCGUGUUUGGCGCUGCGUGCAUGUGAAUGAAGGAAACCUCGUUCCCAAGGCAGUGGGGAAGCCAGGAAGGGAGAUCUCUCAGCCACCUCCCUGGAUCCCGCAGGAAGAAGGGUUUCCUCUCCGCCCUGCAGCAGCCAGUAGCCAAUGAGAAACCGUCACCACCUGUAACUCUCAUUUCC
rnacentral:lncRNA from 1 species